rnacentral:ncRNA from 2 species
GGUCAUGAGUUCCGACGUCAAGCCCCGGCUCGUCGGACGGCAACCCCCCGCGCGGGUGGGUGCCCCGGGUGAGGACCAGGCCUGUCGCAGCCGCGGCGGACAACACGCGAAC